rnacentral:rRNA from 1 species
ACGAUGAUGAAGAGCUUGCUCUUCGGAUUAGUGGCGAACGGGUGAGUAACACGUGAGUAACCUGCCCUUGACUCUGGGAUAAGCGUUGGAAACGACGUCUAAUACCGGAUACGAACCGCGAAGGCAUCUUCAGUGGUUGGAAAGAAUUUUGGUCAAGGAUGGACUCGCGGCCUAUCAGGUAGUUGGUGAGGUAAUGGCUCACCAAGCCUACGACGGGUAGCCGGCCUGAGAGGGUGACCGGCCACACUGGGACUGAGACACGGCCCAGACUCCUACGGGAGGCAGCAGUGGGGAAUAUUGCACAAUGGGCGAAAGCCUGAUGCAGCAACGCCGCGUGAGGGACGACGGCCUUCGGGUUGUAAACCUCUUUUAGCAGGGAAGAAGCGAAAGUGACGGUACCUGCAGAAAAAGCACCGGCUAACUACGUGCCAGCAGCCGCGGUAAUACGUAGGGUGCAAGCGUUGUCCGGAAUUAUUGGGCGUAAAGAGCUCGUAGGCGGUUUGUCGCGUCUGCUGUGAAAACUGGAGGCUCAACCUCCAGCCUGCAGUGGGUACGGGCAGACUAGAGUGCGGUAGGGGAGAUUGGAAUUCCUGGUGUAGCGGUGGAAUGCGCAGAUAUCAGGAGGAACACCGAUGGCGAAGGCAGAUCUCUGGGCCGUAACUGACGCUGAGGAGCGAAAGGGUGGGGAGCAAACAGGCUUAGAUACCCUGGUAGUCCACCCCGUAAACGUUGGGAACUAGAUGUGGGGACCAUUCCACGGUCUCCGUGUCGCAGCUAACGCAUUAAGUUCCCCGCCUGGGGAGUACGGCCGCAAGGCUAAAACUCAAAGGAAUUGACGGGGGCCCGCACAAGCGGCGGAGCAUGCGGAUUAAUUCGAUGCAACGCGAAGAACCUUACCAAGGCUUGACAUAUACGAGAACGCACGAGAGAUCGUGCACUCUUUGGACACUCGUAUACAGGUGGUGCAUGGUUGUCGUCAGCUCGUGUCGUGAGAUGUUGGGUUAAGUCCCGCAACGAGCGCAACCCUCGUUCUAUGUUGCCAGCACGUAAUGGUGGGAACUCAUGGGAUACUGCCGGGGUCAACUCGGAGGAAGGUGGGGACGACGUCAAAUCAUCAUGCCCCUUAUGUCUUGGGCUUCACGCAUGCUACAAUGGCCAGUACAAAGGGCUGCAAUAUCGUAAGGUGGAGCGAAUCCCAAAAAGCUGGUCCCAGUUCGGAUUGAGGUCUGCAACUCGACCUCAUGAAGUCGGAGUCGCUAGUAAUCGCAGAUCAGCAACGCUGCGGUGAAUACGUUCCCGGGCCUUGUACACACCGCCCGUCAAGUCAUGAAAGUCGGUAACACCCGAAGCCGGUGGCCUAACCCUUUAUUGGGAAGGAGCUGUCUAAGGUGCGAUUGCUAAUCAGGACUACGUCGUAACAAGGUAACC